UGUUCAGUGUAUAUUAAUUAUUUAUUUUCAUUUUACUUAAAAUAUAUGUUUUUGUUAAGUUAACAUAUGUUUUUCUAAUCAAGUCUACGUAAUUGUGUCUAUUAUUCACUGUACAUAAUACUAAUGUGUUACUUGAUGGCAUAACAUUUAAGUUAAGUCAAUUAGGAUCGAUAUACUUUGUAUAUCCACAAGGUGGCAGUAAUGCAAAAACAGUUGUAAUGAAACCGCGAAGAACAACAAGGUUUCACAGCUUGGGCCUGCUCAUGCGCAAGACUUCAAAUUUAACUUAAAAACGUUGUUUUGGCGCCAAGCUGCUGUUUCUUUGAGAGAUCCUGCCUUUACCUGCUCCCUCCUAUACUGAUGUGGUGUAUGUGGUACUGCUGAGCUUGUAUGUGAUCUGAACCAUUGUAAAGGUUGCAGUUCAAGGGCCUGAGGUGGAAGCAGAAUUUGUGAGGAUUACUACUGCUCCACUUGUUCCAAGGCUUUUUGCACAACUUGACCAAUACACUGACCAGCUCAUAAAAGUCUUCAAGAAAAAAGGAGGUGCUGCAGUGAAGAAAAUUAGACAAAUUUUGGCCCCAGCCACAAAGGUGCGUUAUUCUGUUGGUAGCAAAAUAUUAUGGCUAAUAAGAUCACUUUCAAAUUUAAACAGCUAGUGUAUGGUAGCUGCACAGUGUACUUACAUUUAUAUUAAGCAAGACAAAGUUUGGUACUCAAAACUUUGGAAAAUUAAAAUUACCUAAACAUAAGUAAAAUCUGAUCCCUCGAUUUCGGGUUAAACCAUAAGUGAAUGUUUUUAUGUUAAAGAUCAGUUUUUGAAUACAAAAAAGAUGAUGUAUUAGUUUGUCUAUACCCCCAUUAUGGACAUAUAUAAUGUGGUGGAAACCCUACCCAACAGGUUAACUAUUCAUGUCCAUGUGAUGAUUAGUUGGUCUUGUGUACAUGUCUAUCUGUGCAGUAAAUAUGUCAUUCAUUUUGCGUAUAAUGUGAGUUUGUGUCAUCCUAAAGUAUAUCUGUUUUCUCCUGUAUCUCUGUCACUCUCUACAGAAGGAAACUAUUGAAAACGGGAGGGAGUGUGUCCUCAGGGUACUACCUUUUUACCUGAAUGAAGACCCAACCAUCCUCUUCAAAGAAUAAUUGCUACAGCUACAACUGUUCAGAGGGAGCUGGAACAAAUUACCCUUGCUAUCUUCACCAUUGAAAAAGCUGAUGUCAGCACUCCUCCAGCCGAUGUGGGUAUAACCAUCUAGGGUGUUCUGCAUGACCUGGAAAACAUGGCCUCUGCAUGUGCACUCUUAAUGGGUGGGAUAUAUGCACUGAAUCUCAGUUAACCUCGAGACUGAAAGCUUUCUUUGAAGUACUUCAGAAGCUCUUCCUUCAUCUGUAUGUCAGCAGACUCUUGACCAAGGUACAGAUACUCAAGAAUAAACUGAAUGAAUAUGCCAACCCUUAAUUUGGAUGAUGAAUGUUCUGUCAGAUGGACAGAAGUUUUUCAGAGGCUGAAUGGGAAUAAAAUGGUAAUUUGUUGAAAAUGACAGAUAAAGGGAAAAUUACAUUUAAGAGAAAUUUAGAAAAGUUUGUAAACUACUACAAUUUGAGAGAUUUUACUCUUGUGGGGGGAGGAGGGGCUAGUAAGAGACAAUCAAAAGUGUUGAGAUUUAAAGGAUUUAAUUGAGAGAUGAUACUGCACCAGAAAUGUUGAAGGGUGGUGUAUAUAUUAGCGUUCAAGGUAUAUUGUUAUGAGGUGGAAAUAUGUUCAUAUUCUGUUUGUGUUACAUUGUGUGCAUUGUAAAGGUAAUUGCAAUACAUACUAAGAAUAAGGGUAGUUAGGAAUGCAGGAUGAAUGUAUAUUUUGCGGACUUUUAAAGACGAACAAUUGUUUCCAUGUUAAAAUGUUUACAACCCAAGUUUUUUGCCCUAACACUGGUAAAAUAAACGUUGAGGGUGGCAAGUGUUAAAUGGUUACUGUUGUGCUGUUGCAAAAAAACUGAACGCUGACAAGCUGUUUUAUUGUUAGACCAUAAUGCUGGCAUGCUUUAUUUAAGUUUUAUUUGGGAUGGUGAUAUAAUUUUCUUUGAUUGCUAAUAUCAGUGGACUAUUUAUUAUUAUUAUUAUUAUUAUUAUUAUUAUUAUUACAACAUUAAUUUUUUUAACUGUGGCUGUUGAGGUGGACACUUCACUUUGCAUUGUUAAAGGAAAACACUUCAUUGGCGUUGUGUUACUGGACUGACCCUAAGCAAUCAUUGCAAAUACCAACUUUGCUAUCCAUUUUAGACACUAAAAGAAAAAGCACUCCACAGACCUUACUAGCAUCACAUAUGCGUAACUCAAGUGUCAUCUUAUCAACAUGUUAUGUGGUCUUCAAUGUUUUUUUCUUCUAUUUCUGGCAGAUACAGACAUUUAAUUUAAAGUCUUGAUGUUGCAUCUGUCUACAUACUGUUAGUUACUAACCCUAAUGACCUGUUGUGUUUUAUUUUGGACUGGGUUUACACAAAUGCUCACUGAAUGUGUUGGCAAUAAAAGAAAUUUAAAAAAA